CAUCGAUUGUAACACCUAAUAAGAGCAUUUCUUGUGAAGUUGCUAUUACGAGUAAAUGCUGGAUUUCCGAGACGAAAACAUUGGCCUUUGGUCUCACUAACUUUACAUUGACAAUGGUAUGAGAUAAAUCUUCGUAAGCUUGAAAGUUUUGACCCGAAAGAUAAUCCCAUAAGAACAAACGGUUGUCCACAGUUAUCCAAGCACGUUGGAUUUCAGCAAAAAGCCCCAUUUGAGUAAAACAUUCCGUACCUAAACCGAUGAUAAGUUAGAAAAGUUACCAAGGCGCAUAAAGUUCGUUUACUUACGAUUGUAUUGUUCAAAUAUACGGUCAGGAAUAUUUACAACAGAACGAAGGUAAAACGGCUUCCAACCACUCAGAACUUGUGAUAUGUAUUCUGGAGCGUGUACUUCUAAAAAAAAAUAAUUAGCCUUCAGAAUUGAUCAAACCUGCUUCAACAUACGACCAAUAAUGUCUCCUAACUCUGGCAAUUUUAAAUCACGCUCCGUUGCAGCUUCAAUCGCAGCAUAGCCACGUGAUAGAAGUUCAUAAAUACCAUUUUCAGUCGAUGAAAAUGAUGGAUCAUUGAUGUCCAUUUUCCCAAGCUCCAAAUGAAGGACAGCUGGAAAUGUUGGCUGCUGGUGCGU